UACCUACGGGGGGCAGCAGUGAGGAAUAUUGGUCAAUGGGCUUACGCCUGAACCAGCCAAGUCGCGUGAGGGAAGACUGCCCUAUGGGUUGUAAACCUCUUUUGUCAGGGAGCAAUUGGCGCUACGUGUAGCGUUAUCGAGAGUACCUGAAGAAAAAGCAUCGGCUAACUCCGUGCCAGCAGCCGCGGUAAUACGGAGGAUGCGAGCGUUAUCCGGAUUUAUUGGGUUUAAAGGGUGCGUAGGCGGGAUGCCAAGUCAGCGGUAAAAAUGCGGUGCUCAACGCCGUCGAGCCGUUGAAACUGGCG
rnacentral:rRNA from 1 species